rnacentral:rRNA from 1 species
AAUAUUUCGCAAUGGGGGAAACCCUUACGCAGCGACCCCGCGUGAACGAUGAAGGCCUUCGUGUCGUAAAGCUCUGUCCUCAGGGCAGCAUAAAUGACGGUACCUUGGGAGGAAGCCCCGUCUACUUACGUGCCAGCAGCCGCGGUAAUCCGUAGGGGGCAAGCGUUGUCCGGAAUUAUUGGGCGUAAAGGGUGCGUAGGCGGCCUUUUAAGUCAGAUGUGAAAGCCCACGGCUUAAGCGUGGGGAUGCAUUUGGAACUGGAGGGCUUGAGUAUCGGAGAGGGUAGUGAAAUUCCCAGUGUAGCGGUGGAAUGCGUAGAUAUUGGGAGGAAAACCAGUGGCGAAGGCGACUACCUGGACGAAAACUGACGCUGAGGCACGAAAGCUAGGGGAGCAAAC